rnacentral:rRNA from 1 species
AUUGAACGCUGGCGGCAGGCCUAACACAUGCAAGUCGAACGAGUGGCGGACUGGUGAGUAAUGUCUGGGAAACUGCCUGAUAGUGGGGGAUAACUACUGGACACGGUCGCUAAUACCGCCUACCAUCGGAUGUGCCUAGUUGGGAUUAGCUAGUAGGUGGGGUAAUGGCACACCUAGGCGACGAGCCCUAGCUGGUCUGAGAGGAUGAACAGCCACACUGGAACGGAGACACGGUCCAGACUCCUACGGGAGGCAGCAGUGGGGAAUAUUGGACAAUGGGCGCAAGCCUGAUGCAGCCAUGCCGCGUGUAUGAAGAAGGCCUUCGGGUUGUAAAGUACUUUCAGCGAGGAGGCGUUACUCGCAGAAGAAGCAUCGGCUAACUCCGUGCCAGCAGCCGCGGUAAUAC